rnacentral:rRNA from 1 species
AGAGUUUGAUCCUGGCUCAGGAUGAACGCUGGCGGCGUGUCUAAGGCAUGCAAGUCGAACGAUCCUUUUUAACUUCGGUUUUUGAGGAUAGUGGCAAACGGGUGAGUAACACAUUGGUAACCUACCUCGAAGUCGUGAAUAACUCACCGAAAGGCGAGCUAAUACACGAUAAAAAUGGGGGGACACAAGUCAUUCCCAUUUAAAGUUCCGACGCUUCGAGAGGGGCCUAUGUCCUAUCAGUUAGUUGGCAGGGUAAAAGCCUGCCAAGGCUAUGACGGGUAGCGGGUGUGAGAGCAUGACCCGCCUCACUGGGACUGAGACACUGCCCAGACUCCUACGGGAGGCUGCAGUCAAGAAUAUUUCGCAAUGCCCGCAAGGGUGACGGAGCGACGCCGCGUGGUUGAUGAAGCUCUUCGGAGUGUAAAGACCUUUUCUUAGGGACGAACAAAUGACGGUACCUAAGGAAUAAGAGGUUGCAAACUCUGUGCCAGCAGCAGCGGUAAUACAGAGACCUCAAGCGUUAUCCGGAUUUAUUGGGCGUAAAGCGUGCGCAGGCGGUUUGUUAAGUUAGUAGUUAAAGCCCAGAGCUCAACUUUGGGACAGCUACUAAAACUAAUAAACUAGAGAUUGGGAGAGGCAAGCGGAAUUGCCGGUGAAGGGGUCAAAUCCGUUGAUAUCGGCAAGAACACCAAAUGCGAAGGCAGCUUGCUAGAACAAUUCUGACGCUGAUGCACGAAAGCGUGGGGAGCGAAGAGGAUUAGAUACCCUCGUAGUCCACGCCGUAAACGAUGGACACUAGGCAUUGGGAGUAUCGACCCUUUCAGUGCCGUUGUAUUUUAGCUAACGCGUUAAGUGUCCCGCCUGGGGAGUACGGCCGCAAGGCUAAAACUCAAAGGAAUUGACGGGGACCCGCACAAGCGGUGGAGCAUGUGGUUCAAUUCGACGAUAAGCGAGGAACCUUACCAGGGUUUGACAUCCCCGGAAUCUCGGGUAAUGCCGAGAGUGUCGCAAGGAACCGGGUGACAGGUGCUGCAUGGUUGUCGUCAGCUCGUGUCGUGAGAUGUACGGUUAAGUCCGGUAACGAGCGCAACCCUUGUCCUAUGUUAAAUUUGUCAUAGGAGACUGCCAACUUUAAGUUGGAGGAAGACGAGGAUGACGUCAAAUCAGCAUGGCUCUUACAUCCUGGGCUACACACGUGCUACAAUGGCCAGUACAAUGGGCUGCUAAGCCGAAAGGCGGAGCUAAUCCCAUAAAAGCUGGUCUCAGUUCGGAUUGAGGUCUGCAACUCGACCUCAUGAAGCUGGAAUCGCUAGUAACCGCGUAUCAGCUAUGGCGCGGUGAAUACGUUCUCGGGUCUUGUACACACCGCCCGUCACGUCAAGGGAGCCGGCAAUACCCGAAUAGCGUUGUAGGACGCUAUAAGGUAAGGUCGGUGACAGGGACGAAGUCGUAACAAGGCAUCCGUAGCGGAAGCUGUGGAUG